GCUGGGCAUGGUGGCGCAUGCCUGUAAUCCCAGCUACUCAGGAGGCUGAGGCAGGAGAGUUGCCUGAACCCAGGAGGCGGAGGUUGCAAUGAGCCGAGAUCGCGCCAUUGCACUCCAGCCUGGGUAACAAGAGCAAAACUCUGUCUCAA
ensembl:misc_RNA Metazoa_SRP Metazoan signal recognition particle RNA